AUCCAAGGGCCUGUGUAAAGACGGAGACAACAGGGAGAACGCAGCGUAAAGAUGGAGGCAGGAUCGGAGUGAUGCGUCUGCAAGCCAAGGGGCGCCGAGGAGUCCUGGUCAUCCCCAGAAGCUGGAGGAAGGCAUGGAUCAGAUUCUCCCUCAGAAAGAAUCAACCCUUCAAACACUGAAUGCAGCCUUCUGGCCUCCAGACUGUGAAGCAACAAAUUUCUGCUGUUUUAAGCCACCCGAUGCUGUUAUUCUCUAAGCCUAACUCAACCCGAACUCUAAUAAAACCGGAAGAAUAUGCAAUGGACAACCACAUGUGGCCUGCAAAGGUGAAAAUAUUUGCUAUUUGAUCCUU